rnacentral:rRNA from 1 species
GACGAACGCUGGCGGCGUGCUUAACACAUGCAAGUCGAACGGAAAGGCCCUGCUUUUGUGGGGUGCUCGAGUGGCGAACGGGUGAGUAACACGUGAGUAACCUGCCCUUGACUUUGGGAUAACUUCAGGAAACUGGGGCUAAUACCGGAUAGGAGCUCCUGCUGCAUGGUGGGGGUUGGAAAGUUUCGGCGGUUGGGGAUGGACUCGCGGCUUAUCAGCUUGUUGGUGGGGUAGUUGCUUACCAAGGCUUUGACGGGUAGCCGGCCUGAGAGGGGGACCGGCCACAAUGGGACUGAGAGACGGCCCAGAGUCCUACGGGAGGCAGCAGUGGGGAAUAUUGCACAAUGGGCGGAAGCCUGAUGCAGCAACGCCGCGUGCGGGAUGACGGCCUUCGGGUUGUAAACCGCUUUCGCCUGUGACGAAGCGGGAGUGACGGUAAUGGGUAAAGAAGCACCGGCUAACUACGUG